rnacentral:rRNA from 1 species
CAGCCGCCACGGUAAUACGAAGGGGCUAGCGUUGCUCGGAAUGACUGGGCGUAAAGGGCGCGUAGGCGGCGAUCAAAGUCAGGCGUGAAAUUCCUGGGCUCAACCUGGGGGCUGCGUUUGAUACUUGAUUGCUAGAGUGGGGAAGAGGGUCGUGGAAUUCCCAGUGUAGAGGUGAAAUUCGUAGAUAUUGGGAAGAACACCGGUGGCGAAGGCGGCAACCUGGUCCUUGACUGACGCUGAGGCGCGAAAGCGUGGGGAGCAAACAGGAUUAGAGACCCCGGUAGUCCCUGUCUCUUAUACA